rnacentral:rRNA from 1 species
CCUACGGGAGGCAGCAGUGGGGAAUAUUGGACAAUGGGCGAAAGCCUGAUCCAGCAAUUCCGCGUGUGUGAAGAAGGCCUUCGGGUUGUAAAGCACUUUAGGUUGGGAAGAAAAAGCUUCGGUGAAUAUCCGGAGUGUUGACGGUACCAACAGAAUAAGCACCGGCUAACUCUGUGCCAGCAGCCGCGGUAAUACAGAGGGUGCAAGCGUUAAUCGGAUUUACUGGGCGUAAAGCGUGCGCAGGUGGUUUCGUAAGUCGGAUGUGAAAGCCCCGGGCUCAACCUGGGAACUGCGUUCGAUACUGCGAGACUAGAGUUUGGUAGAGGGUGGCGGAAUUCCCGGUGUAGCGGUGAAAUGCGUAGAUAUCGGGAGGAACAUCAAUGGCGAAGGCAGCCACCUGGGCCUGAACUGACACUGAGGCACGAAAGCGUGGGUAGCAAACAGGAUUAGAUGCCCUGGUAAGUCCACGCCGUAAACGAUGAGAACUUGACGUUGGUUACGUUUACGAUCGGUGUCGUAGCUAACGCGAUAGUUCUCCGCGUGGGGAUCGGCCGNAAGGUUGAAACUNAANAGAGUAGAGCGNGAGAGNGCGACGACGACGACGAGGGAGAGG